rnacentral:rRNA from 1 species
AGAGUUUGAUCAUGGCUCAGGACGAACGCUGGCGGCGUGCUUAACACAUGCAAGUCAAGGGGGCGGCGCAAGCCGCAACCGGCGAACGGGUGCGUAACACGUGAGCGACCUGCCUCCCCGCGGGGGAUAGCCGGCCCAACGGCCGGGUAAUACCGCAUACGUUCUUCGCGGGGCAUCCCGGGAAGAAGAAACCUCCGGGGCGGGGAGAGGGGCUCGCGGCCUAUCAGCUAGUUGGCGGGGUAACGGCCCACCAAGGCGGCGACGGGUAGCUGGUCUGAGAGGAUGGCCAGCCACAUUGGGACUGAGAGACGGCCCAGACUCCUACGGGAGGCAGCAGUGGGGAAUCUUGCGCAAUGGCCGAAGGCUGACGCAGCGCGCCGCGUGGGGGAGGAAGGGCUUCGGCUCGUAAACCCCUGUUGCCCGGGGCGAACAUCCCCUUUCGAGGGGACUGACGGUACCGGGUGAGGAAGCACCGGCUAACUCCGUGCCAGCAGCCGCGGUAAUACGGAGGGUGCGAGCGUUGUCCGGAAUCACUGGGCGUAAAGGGCGCGUAGGUGGCUUCUCAAGCGCGCGGUGAAAGCCCGGGGCUCAACCCCGGGUCGGCCGUGCGGACUGGGAGGCUCGAGCACUGUAGGGGCGGGUGGAAUUCCGGGUGUAGCGGUGGAAUGCGUAGAGAUCCGGAAGAACACCGGUGGCGAAG